GACAGAGGGUGCAAACGUUGUUCGGAAUUACUGGGCGUAAAGCGAGUGUAGGCGGUUUGGUAAGUCGGAUGUGAAAGCCCCGGGCUCAACCCGGGAAGUGCACUCGAUACUGCCAAGCUAGAGUAUCGGAGAGGUUGGUGGAAUUCUCGGUGUAGAGGUGAAAUUCGUAGAUAUCGAGAGGAACACCGGUGGCGAAGGCGGCCAACUGGACGAAUACUGACGCUGGAGGAGCGAAAGCGUGGGGAGCGAACAGG
rnacentral:rRNA from 1 species